rnacentral:rRNA from 1 species
UACAGAGGGUGCGAGCGUUGUCCGGAAUCACUGGGCGUAAAGGGCGCGUAGGUGGUGGCUUAAGCGUGCGGUGAAAGCUCGGGGCUCAACUCCGAGUCGGCCGUGCGAACUGGGCUCACUGGAGCAUAGUAGAGGCAGGUGGAAUUCCGGGUGUAGCGGUGGAAUGCGUAGAGAUCCGGAAGAACACCGGUGGCGAAGGCGGCCUGCCGGGCUAUGGCUGACACUGAGGCGCGACAGCGUGGGGAGCAAACAGG